CGCGUAGGCGGUGCGGUAAGUCACCUGUGAAACCUCUAGGCUUAACCUAGAGCCUGCAGGCGAAACUGCCGUGCUUGAGGGUGGGAGAGGUGCGUGGAAUUCCCGGUGUAGCGGUGAAAUGCGUAGAUAUGGGAGGAACACCUGUGGCGAAAGCGGCGCACUGGACCACAUCUGACGCUGAGGCGCGAAAGCUAGGGGAGCAAACA
rnacentral:rRNA from 1 species